rnacentral:rRNA from 1 species
GACGAACGCUGGCGGCGUGCUUAACACAUGCAAGUCGAACGGAAAGGCCCUGCUUUUGUGGGGUGCUCGUGUGGCGAACGGGUGAGUAACAUGUGAGAAACGUGCCCUUCUCUGUGGUAUAACUUCGGGAAUCUGGCGCUAAUACGGGAUAGGAGCUCCUGCUGCAUGGGGGGGGUUGGAAUGUUUCGGCGGUUGGGAAUGGCCUCGCGGCUUAUCAGCUUGUUGGUGGGGUAUUGACUUACCAAGGCUUUGACGGUUAGCCGGCCUGAGAGGGGGACCGGCCAAAUUGGGACUGGAAUCGGGCCCAGACUCCUACGGACGCAAGAAGUGGGAAAUAUGCAAAAUUGGGGCAAGCCCUAUUCAAGCAACGCCGCUUGCGGGAUACGGGCCUCCGGGUGAAAAACCGUUUUCCCCUGUAAGGAGGCGUGUGUGACGGUACUGGGUAAAGAAGCACCGGCUAACUACGUG